AAACUGCGAACCACGUAACGCGAACUCCGCAUAGUCUGGUGCCGGCAAUGAGUCAACGUCGUGUAGCUUGUUUACCUUCUUCACCAUUGGAACGCAAUGCUCAUCAACAUCUUCGCGAAAAACUACGACAGUUAACGCAAAUAUGUGCCUAUGGCUGCGCGAAUUCCAAUGAUUUUUCUAUCAUAUAAGAAAAUCAAUUCCUAUGUACAAAACAUCAUUCGAAAUCGGUACCUCGUUGAAGCUGGAACUCGGUUUUUUAAUUCGUACAUAGUAUACCUAUUGCUGUAAUAAGCACGUUGAAUUCGAAGUCAUUCGAAAAGCUCGACAUCGUAUAUAAAAAUGCUCAUCUUCAAUUACUUGAAAAAGUUUCUUCUCUUGGCUGCGUUAGGUCUUCUCGCAGUCACAUAUGUCACUGCCCCGGGCGUGCCCGGCGGAGUGAAAGCAGUCAUAGAUGAAGAAAGACGCCUUAACGACGACGCGCAAGACUGAAUGAGAAUCGUUCACGGAUGAAUAAUAUGGCAACGCUGAAUUCUUCGAUUUGAUUUUUUACCGCUGUAUAUAAUUUUUCCAAUGGAAUGUUGCAUCGCAUCAUAAUUUCUAAUAAUCAUUUAAUUGUAACGAAUAUUUUAAUUUAUUUUAAGGCAAUUGUAUCCCUAUUUCGGAAUUAAUUUAAGUAUACGUUAGUUUGUAAGUCAAUAGCAUCCACAAUACAUCACUUAGCAUCGCA